UUGGAGAUCAGCCCGUAUUCUUCGAUCUCUGCCUGUAUCACCGGGAAGGUGGUCUCUGGAUGUGUGACCACAAACAGCAGGUCGUCCGCAUAUGCUAGCGUUUUGUGUUGUGUCGUUCCAACUGUGAGGCCCUGUAUGUUUAUGCUCUCUCUGAUCCUCCUCAGGAACGGCUCCAGCGUCUACGCGAAGAUCAUCGGCGAGAGUGGGCAUCCUUGUCUGGUUCUAUUGUAUAUCCGGAACAGGUUCGUCAGUGCUCCGUUUAUCUGGAUUCGUGCCGUUGGGCAGGUGUAGAGAGCCUGUACCCACGUAAGGUAGUGAGGUCCCAUCCCAAAGGCCUGGAGGGUCUCGAACAUCAUAUCCCAGUCUACCCUGUCGAACGCCUUUUCCGCGUCAGUCGACAGAAGGCAGGUCCGUGUCUUGUGUGCUCUAGCGUGUGCAAUGAUGUUCAGGGCUCUGAUGGUGUUGUCCCUCACCUCUCUGCCCGGGAUAAACCCUGUUUGGUCCGGGUGGAGUGAAUCCGGCAGCAGCGGCGCUAGUCGCGUUGCCAGAAUGCUCGCCAGGAGUUUAAUGUCCGUAUUAAGCACUGAAAUCGGGCGGUAGUUUAGGCACAAUGUCGGGUCUUUGCCAACCUUUGGAAGCAGGGUAAUGUUCGCCGAGGUGAACUGGGCCGUCAGUGUAGCUCCGUCCUGGACGGAAUUCAGGGCUUGAAGUAGUUUCGGUUGAACCUCUUGCGUGAAGAUCUUGUAGUAUUGGAGGGAAGUCCGUCUGGCCCCGGUGCCUUGCCCGUUUUAGCUGGCACGGGGCGAAAUGCAUUUCGGAUUUCAAUAGACACUA